rnacentral:rRNA from 1 species
CCUACGGGAGGCAGCAGUGAGGAAUAUUGGUCAAUGGACGAGAGUCUGAACCAGCCAAGUAGCGUGAAGGAUGACUGCUCUAUGGUUUGUAAAUUUCUUUUAUAUGGGAAUAAAAUGUUCCACGUGUGGGGUUUUGUAUGUACCAUUUGAAUAAGGAUCGGCUAACUCAGGGCCAGUAGCCGCGGUAAUCGGGAGGAUCCGAGCGUUAUCCGGAUUUAUUGGGUUUAAAGGGAGCGUAGGUGGAAUGUUAAGUCAGUGGUGAAAGUUUGCGGCUCAACCGGAAAACUGCAGUUGAAACUGGCUGUCUUGAGUACAGUAGAGGUUGGCGGAAUUCGGGGUGUAGCGGUGAAAUGCUUAGAUAUCACGAAGAACUCCGAUUGCGAAGGCAGCUCACUGGACUGCAACUGACACUGAGGCUCGAAAGUGUGGGUAUCAAACAGGAUUAGAUACCCGAGUAGUC